UACGUAGGUGGCGAGCGUUGUCCGGAUUUACUGGGCGUAAAGGGCGUGCAGGCGGUUUGUUAAGUGCAGGGUGAAAGCUCCCGGCUCAACUGGGAGAGGUCCUUGCAUACUGGCGAACUCGAGGGAGGCAGAGGAAAGUGGAAUUCCAGGUGUAGCGGUGAAAUGCGUAGAUAUCUGGAGGAACACCGGUGGCGAAGGCGGCAUUCUGGACCGAUAUUGACGCUGAGGAGCGAAAGCCAGGGGAGCAAACGGG
rnacentral:rRNA from 1 species